rnacentral:rRNA from 1 species
AUUGAACGCUGGCGGCAUGCCUUACACAUGCAAGUCGAACGGCAGCACGGGUGCUUGCACCUGGUGGCGAGUGGCGAACGGGUGAGUAAUACAUCGGAACGUACCUUAUCGUGGGGGAUAACGCAGCGAAAGCUGUGCUAAUACCGCAUACGCCCUGAGGGGGAAAGCGGGGGAUCGCAAGACCUCGCGCGAUUAGAGCGGCCGAUGCCUGAUUAGCUAGUUGGUGGGGUAAAAGCCCACCAAGGCGACGAUCAGUAGCUGGUCUGAGAGGACGAUCAGCCACACUGGGACUGAGACACGGCCCAGACUCCUACGGGAGGCAGCAGUGGGGAAUUUUGGACGAUGGGGGCAACCCUGAGCCAGCAAUGCCGCGUGAGUGAAGAAGGCCUUCGGGUUGUAAAGCUCUUUUGUCAGGGAAGAAACACCGGCUCUAACACAGUCCGGGAAUGACGGUACCUGAAGAAUAAGCACCGGCUAACUACGUGCCAGCAGCCGCAGUAA